rnacentral:lncRNA from 1 species
GAGAGGAGCUUCAUGCUUCGGGUCGGGGAAGGAAAGACAUAGAAUUUGGAUUUUUCUUCUUCGUAGAGUUUUGGGAAGACUGAGGCAAUCGCUGCUAAAGUCAGUGUUGUAAUGGUGAAUCGGGAUUUUUAAAUGAAGUGGGUUUGAAUACUCUUGACUGUUUUGUAAAAUCGAGUUACGUCUGUGAUUGAAGGAUUAAAGGGGUGUCUAUAGGAUUGAGUAUGCGGAGUGAAUGAAAUUUAUUGGGUUAAUCUAAUAGGACAGUCAGUAGAUACAAGAUCGUAAGUACAAAGGGGUAUUGAAGAUUAACAG